rnacentral:rRNA from 1 species
GUGUCAGCCGCCGCGGUAAUACGGAGGGUGCAAGCGUUAAUCGGGAUUACUGGGCGUAAAGCGUGUGUAGGCGGUCUAUUAAGUCGGAUGUGAAAGCCCCGGGCUUAACCUGAGAAUUGCAUUCGAAACUGGUAGGCUUGAAUUUGGUAGAGGGAAGUGGAAUUCCGGGUGUAGCGGUGAAAUGCGUAGAUAUCCGGAGGAACACCAGUGGCGAAGGCGGCUUCCUGGACCAAAAUUGACGCUGAGGCACGAAAGCGUGGGUAGCAAACAGGAUUAGAUACCCUGGUAGUCCACACCGUAAACGAUGAAUGCCAGACGUCGGGCAGCAUGCUGUUCGGUGUCACACCUAACGGAUUAAGCAUUCCGCCUGGGGAGUACGGCCGCAAGGUUAAAACUCAAAGGAAUUGGCGGGG